AAGCUGAGGAAGGAGAGCGGUUUUUCCAAACUGUUCUCGAACCACAGAACCUCGACCUCCACCUCCGACCUCCGGACGCGAACUGAGGCAAAGAAAUGGAGGGAAUAAAAACCUUAUCACAGAAUCUGCACCCACCCACGCGAUCUGCCUUGGCAUUCGCUGUCCACAGUAUGAUACACAUCUCUAAGGCAGCAUUACAAUGGAAAUCGUUCUUAAGGAAAUGUUUAGAAACACUUUUCUAAGUGGCAUCACAAGUAAACUGAGAAGACAUUGCCCAUCUGCCAGAAACUUUUGCUGAAAGUUGUCAUGAAGCUGUGUGAGUGGAUGGAAAAAAUAAAAGGAGUUUCAGAUUUGACGAGUGUAAAAAGGAUGUGUUAGGGGAAAUAAUGUGAAACCUUAUGUAUAAGAUGAUGGAGUCUUAAGCUUUUGGUUAUUAAAAAGGACAGGGUGGUAGGAGUCUCUGUAAAUGGUUCAAAAUAUUAGUCAAAUGUGUGCCUAAAAUAAAGGGACUAGAAAAAUCCUGGAUGUUAACAGUAAGAAUAUUGGAAACACAAUGGAAAACAUUACCUUGCCCUUGAGCAUGAUAUUGGUAUAUUUGUAUCUAGAAUAUGUGUAGUCUACCUAAGUUAAAGUCUGCAAAGAAUGUCAGUGUUUAUUUUUCUAAGCAAUACAGUCUUCUCUGAGCAUCUAUCCCCUCACUUGAUUAAGAAUCCAAUUUCGGUUAUCCGUAAAGCGUCUUGCAGAGAAUUUGCAGGGUAAUGCAGGCAGAAAUGACAUCUCUUGACAAUAGCACAUCUUCCCAUCCAAGAAUGUGACACUUUAAUACAUUUAUUUUUAAAACUUUAUAUCCUUCACUGUGGUAGGCAGAUGAAUAGCCCCCAAAGAUGUCCAUACCCUAAUUCCCAGAACUUGUGAAUUGGUUACCUUACAAAAGGAAUUUUGCAGAUGUGAGUAAAAUUAAGGACCUGGUGAUAACAUUGUCCUGAAUUAUAGGGCUGGGGGAAGUCGGCCCAGUCCAAUCACAGGAAAGAUUCAAAGCCUGAGGAUGCCACACCCUAUUGCUGCAUCUGAAAUAUUGAGGGCUAUCUCCAAGGUCCUGAGAGUCCUCUAGGAGCUGAGGUCAGCUCCAAGCUGACUGUCACCAAGGUAACAGAGAUCUCAGUCCCACAAUCUCAUUGAAUUAAAUUCUGCCAACACCUCAAUGAGCAAAGUGUUGGAGAUUUUCCCCUGGUCUCCAAAAGGAACACAGCCCUGCUGACAUCUUGACGUUUGCCUGCUGAGACUUCUCACCUACAGAACUGUAAGAUAAUAAAUUUGGGUUGAUCUAA